AAGUCGUAACAAGGUUUCCGUAGGUGAACCUGCGGAAGGAUCAUUAACACGUAUCCAACGUUAAACAACCCUGUGAACUUUCAGACGCUCUUGUAGCCCAGGCGGAACAGCAAUCCCGGUAAAUCAAUGGCGGAAAAGUUUUGAUUCGGGACCUCUGUCCAAUUAGUUACAAUCGAGCUAAGGAUCCACUGAGUAAGGAUAACGCAUCACGGUUGCUAGAGGUCGAUCACCGGCCGGCAGACAUGUUCACCCCUUGCCUAAAACUCGCCCACCGGAAACGCUGGGCACAAAAACCGAACAACUGUUAACAAUGGAUAUCUUGGUUCUC
rnacentral:misc_RNA from 1 species